rnacentral:rRNA from 1 species
GNGUAAAGGCUCACCAAGCCGACGAUCUGUAGCUGGUCUGAGAGGACGACCAGCCACACUGGGACUGAGACACGGCCCAGACUCCUACGGGAGGCAGCAGUGGGGAAUUUUGGACAAUGGGCGCAAGCCUGAUCCAGCAAUGCCGCGUGCAGGAUGAAGGCCUUCGGGUUGUAAACUGCUUUGUACGGAACGAAACGGUGAGCUCUAAUACAGUUUGCUAAUGACGGUACCGUAAGAAUAAGCACCGGCUAACUACGUG